AAAGGAAUUGACGGGGACCCGCACAAGCGGCGGAGCAUGCGGAUUAAUUCGAUGCAACGCGAAGAACCUUACCAAGGCUUGACAUAUACGAGAACGGGCCAGAAAUGGUCAACUCUUUGGACACUCGUAAACAGGUGGUGCAUGGUUGUCGUCAGCUCGUGUCGUGAGAUGUUGGGUUAAGUCCCGCAACGAGCGCAACCCUCGUUCUAUGUUGCCAGCACGUAAUGGUGGGAACUCAUGGGAUACUGCCGGGGUCAACUCGGAGGAAGGUGGGGAUGACGUCAAAUCAUCAUGCCCCUUAUGUCUUGGGCUUCACGCAUGCUACAAUGGCCGGUACAAUGGGCUGCAAUACCGUAAGGUGGAGCGAAUCCCAAAAAGCCGGUCCCAGUUCGGAUUGAGGUCUGCAACUCGACCUCAUGAAGUCGGAGUCGCUAGUAAUCGCAGAUCAGCAACGCUGCGGUGAAUACGUUCCCGGGUCUUGUACACACCGCCCGU
rnacentral:rRNA from 1 species